GGUUCCAUAGUAGAGCGGUUAGCAUGUCUGUUUUACAUGCAGAAGGUCCUGGAUUCGCACCCCAGUGGAGCCA
rfam:Pteropus alecto contig15229, whole genome shotgun sequence.